GAAUUCCCAGUAAGUGCGGGUCAUAAGCUUGCGUUGAUUAAGUCCCUGCCCUUUGUACACACCGCCCGUCGCUACUACCGAUUGGAUGGUUUAGUGAGGCCCUCGGAUCGGCCCCCCGGGGUCGCCCACGGCCCUGGCGGAGCGCUGAGAAGACGUCGAACUUGACUAUCUAGAGGAAGUAAAAGUCGUAACAGGUUUCCGUAGGUGAACCUGCGGAAGGAUCAUUA
rnacentral:rRNA from 1 species